rnacentral:lncRNA from 1 species
CAAUUUCAGAACAAUUGAAAUACUUAUACACAACCGUUUGUACUGACACUAGAUAAAUGCUUGUUUUUCACCCCUUUGGGCCCCUUAUUCCUAAACCUUAGGGACCAUAACCCCAAAAUCAAUCCCAAGCUUCCUUUUGUGGUUAUAAACAUUGUGUUAAAAUUUUAUUGAUUUCUAUUUACUUAUACUAAAGUUAUUAUCCGGAAACCAUCCGUCAUCGGACGACGCUGAC